rnacentral:rRNA from 1 species
UACGGAGGGCGCUAGCGUUGUUCGGAAUUACUGGGCGUAAAGCGCACGUAGGCGGCUUUGUAAGUUAGAGGUGAAAGCCUGGGGCUCAACCCCAGAAUUGCCUUUGAUACUGCAUGGCUUGAAUCCAGGAGAGGUGAGUGGAAUUCCGAGUGUAGAGGUGAAAUUCGUAGAUAUUCGGAAGAACACCAGUGGCGAAGGCGGCUCACUGGACUGGUAUUGACGCUGAGGUGCGAAAGCGUGGGGAGCAAACAGG